GACGAACGCUGGCGGCGUGCUUAACACAUGCAAGUCGAACGGAAAGGCCCUGCUUUUGUGGGGUGCUCGAGUGGCGAACGGGUGAGUAACACGUGAGUAACCUGCCCUUGACUUUGGGAUAACUUCAGGAAACUGGGGCUAAUACCGGAUAGGAGCUCCUGCUGCAUGGUGGGGGUUGGAAAGUUUCGGCGGUUGGGGAUGGACUCGCAGCUUAUCAGCUUGUUGGUGGGGUAGUGGCUUACCAAGGCUUUGACGGGUAGCCGGCCUGAGAGGGUGACCGGCCACCUUGGGACUGAGAUACGGCCCAGACUCCUACGGGAGGCAGCAGUGGGGAAUAUUGCACAAUGGGCGGAAGCCUGAUGCAGCAACGCCGCGUGCGGGAUGACGGCCUUCGGGUUGUAAACCGCUUUCGCCUGUGACGAAGCGUGAGUGACGGUAAUGGGUAAAGAAGCACCGGCUAACUACGUG
rnacentral:rRNA from 1 species